UGGGGAAUAUUAGGCAAUGGGGGAAACCCUGACCUAGCAACGCCGCGUGAGGGAGGAAGGUCUUCGGAUUGUAAACCUCUUUGAUCGGGGACGAAGAAAUGACGGUACCCGAAGAACAAGCCACGGCUAACUACGUGCCAGCAGCCGCGGUAAUACGUAGGUGGCGAGCGUUGUCCGGAAUUACUGGGUGUAAAGGGCGUGUAGGCGGGGACAAAAGUCAGGUGUGAAAGACCUUAGCUUAACUGAGGUACUGCACUUGAAACUUUGACUCUUGAGUGAUGGAGAGGCAGGCGGAAUUCCUGGUGUAGCGGUGAAAUGCGUAGAUAUCAGGAGGAACACCGGUGGCGAAGGCGGCCUGCUGGACAUUAACUGACGCUGAGGCGCGAAAGCGUGGGGAGCAAACA
rnacentral:rRNA from 1 species